GCAUGACGUUUGAAAAUCGUGCGCAUUCCUAGACUUGUUUUAAAUUUAGGCUGUGGCUUUAUCUAUCGAACUUUGUCGGAGGAGGAGUCGAUUCUCACCGUACGGGAAAGUCAAGGACUGUGUGUGUGUGUGUGUGUAUUUUAACACUUGUGUGAUUAGAGGAUUAUUAACAUUCACACAAGCUUGAGGAUCUUUUAAAACUUUACGCAAGAUCGUUUUUUUUAUAUUUCUUGUAUUUCUUCAGAGCCUUGGAUUUGGGUUUUUUGUUUUAUUGGACGGGAAAGUAUUGUUUUCGCUGUGACGCGAUCGCCCGACAGUGUUGGAGUUCUUUCGUGGAUUGUGGUUGAGUUAUAGAAGUGCUGUGGUUCAGAAUCAGAGGAUAUAUUAUUAUUACGAUUUUAGUGGAGAGUAUAUGGACUUGCUAGAAUUAAUACCCCUAGAUCUGGCCUACACAAGGUCAAGUGUCAAGAGGUGAAAAAAGAUUUGGACAAAAACUUCGAUAACGUCAGCGCUGCUGCGUUGGUCACUGCCUGAACACGACGCGUCUGCCUGCCGAAGAACGAGUGAAAAAGAGGAUAUUACUACACGACGUGCGGCAAUAGCAAAGUCCACGCCACGACUUUGGAAUAUUAUUAGAUCAUUUUUUAAAAAGGAAACGUCAAUCAAACGACUUCGUCAUAAUAAUCUUCAGCUUUGUGUGCUCUCCGUGAUGACAGUGGUAAUAUAUACAUCGUUUUGUCGCUGGGGACACGGACCACGAGACGGCUGAAGAGGGCGACGGAGGACCGAAAAAAACGAGAGGGAAAAAGGAGGUACGCCAAAGAAGACUAUCGAAAACGCGGAGAAGAGAAAAAAAAAGUGAAACGGGUAAGACGGAAGAGGAUAAGAAGGAGGAAAAGGUGGAGCUUACUUGGAAACAAGAGGCAAGAGAGAGAUACGGAUAGAGAGAAGAGGAGACACAGAAGGGAGAAGCAAAGAGAGUGAGAGAAAGAGAGAAAGAAAGAGAGAGAGAGAGGGGAGAUUUUACGGAAGACGUCGCCCGUCCAUCUGAGCACAGUGUAACAUGAAAACGUGCAGGCUGCGGUCGGGAAAGCUAGGAACUCCUGAACUCUGCUUUACGUCCAUUGUUCGGGCUCCGGGGACCGAGGGCGACAGCCCUGUGCCGAGCAGGAAACGGAAGCAGAUGGAAUAUUUGGACUCGCUAUAUUUGGACUAGAGACACCAAUUCCAAGUGUAAAAUCCGACGUGUCUUCCAGAUUCAGGUAAACUUUGA